rnacentral:lncRNA from 1 species
GUCACUUGUAAUGACUACAGUAAUAUCUGGAAAAAGAGAUAACUAGAAAAGCCUACAGCACUUGAUUAUUCUGCUCAGAAUAUCUGAUACAACCCUUGCAGACAGCAGAUCUUCCUUUGUUCCCAAGCCUGGAUAAGAAAUUGGGAAGUUCCUGCAGAUCCCUAGCAGGCUGGCCCACCACCACCAUUCCCAGGUGAGCUGACCAUGUUUAACCAUCCCCUUAAAAAUGGAAGGAUUCCAGUCCUCAGGUU